CCUACGGGUGGCAGCAGUAGGGAAUUUUGCGCAAUGGGCGAAAGCCUGACGCAGCAACACCGCGUGAAUGUUAAGCCCUUCGGGGUGUAAAGUUCUGUCAAUAGGGACGAAUUUUGACUGUACCUAUAAAGGAAGCACCGGCUAACUCCGUGCCAGCAGCCGCGGUAAUACGGAGGAUGCGAGCGUUAUCCGGAUUUAUUGGGUUUAAAGGGUGCGCAGGCGGAAGAUCAAGUCAGCGGUAAAAUUGAGAGGCUCAACCUCUUCGAGCCGUUGAAACUGGUUUUCUUGAGUGAGCGAGAAGUAUGCGGAAUGCGUGGUGUAGCGGUGAAAUGCAUAGAUAUCACGCAGAACUCCGAUUGCGAAGGCAGCAUACCGGCGCUCAACUGACGCUCAUGCACGAAAGUGUGGGUAUCGAACAGGAUUAGAUACCCUAGUAGUC
rnacentral:rRNA from 1 species